rnacentral:rRNA from 1 species
GACGAACGCUGGCGGCGUGCCUAAUACAUGCAAGUUGAGCGAUGAAGCUUGGUGCUUGCACCAAUUUGAAGAGCAGCGAACGGGUGAGUAACGCGUGGGGAAUCUGCCUUUGAGCGGGGGACAACAUUUGGAAACGAAUGCUAAUACCGCAUAACAACUUUAAACAUAAGUUUUAAGUUUGAAAGAUGCAAUUGCAUCACUCAAAGAUGAUCCCGCGUUGUAUUAGCUAGUUGGUGAGGUAAAGGCUCACCAAGGCGAUGAUACAUAGCCGACCUGAGAGGGUGAUCAGCCACAUUGGGACUGAGACACGGCCCAAACUCCUACGGGAGGCAGCAGUAGGGAAUCUUCGGCAAUGGACGAAAGUCUGACCGAGCAACGCCGCGUGAGUGAAGAAGGUUUUCGGAUCGUAAAACUCUGUUGGUAGAGAAGAACGUUGGUGAGAGUGGAAAGCUCAUCAAGUGACGGUAACUACCCAGAAAGGGACGGCUAACUACGUG